ACUACUCUAUUGCCAUCUACCCAACAAAUUUUAUUACGAAGGAAAUAAAAUUAAUUGCGAUAACUUCUUUCUUAAGUUGUUAGAACUUGUCACACAUUUGCGCGUCUCUUUAAUUUAAUUCAAAUGUUGACGAGUUUAUCAUCGCGUGAUAUAACACGUUUUUAAAUAAAUUAUUUAUUCAAAUGACAUCAACUUCUAUUUUAUUCACCGCGAACGCUGAUAUAUGUGUCACAUAAUUAUUUCCGGACAAUUAUAGAUACACUUGGAAUGAUAAUAGCUCGAGGUUUUAAGUCAAGUUCUGGGCAGAUGCCGUACCGAGAUCUCAGAAAGUCAUUUCCGGUGUUUUGAAGAUCAUGUCCGAGCUACGCAUGCUGCGGGUCACAGCAGUAGCAGCAGCAGCAGCAGCAGAAGGCUCCAUUCACUCGCUCAAAGUUAGUUGGCGACGAUUCGUCAGCUAAAACUUGUUCAAAUAGGAUCAAUUGAUUUUUCGAUUCCCUUCAAAAGGAUUCUGGCAAUUAGAGGAAGAGUAUCAACUACAUACAUAAAAGAUACAGAUAUAUAUAAAAAAAUAUGAUGAUAACGAGGUCAAACACGAGGCGGAAUUUAUGCUGCGUUUCACCAGCUCCCGGUGGAUCUAUAAAUGCAAUCGGUUUGAAUAUUCAGUCAGUAAAACACCAGGUUUAACGAGUUUUGAAGGGGUCUACGACAUGGUUGUGAAAAUAUGUAUACACAUAUAUAUGAAGGGUCAAAAGUUUCAUAUCUCGAUUCUUGAGCUUUAAAUCAACUGGUAUAUCUCCGCCCAUUUCGUCACCAUUCAUUUUCGUAUGCUCAUCGUGGUUAAUUAAUAGUCACGAAUAAAUUGGUCAAUUAAAUAAUUAUCUCUUGUGAGAGUAAGAUGGCGGCGUUGCGUGUCAAAUAGUCGUAUCGAUUCAUGGGCUAAAUUUGUGUUUGUGUAUCCGUGUGAUCAUCAAGUGACACAGGCAUAUUUUAAUUCAAAUUUAAAUUUAAAUUCGUGUUUAUUUUCGACUCUGGUCUUUAGGAUCCGAGUAAACUGAGGGAAUCUUGGGCUCGUAAAAUUCGUCCCGAGGAAACGGGCUCGAGUUUAUAAGGGUCUCAGAUUUUAUGAGAUAUUUAAUAGUUUUUAUGUUUGACGUUUAAAAUUAUUCGGUUCACUGUCUAAUUAAAUAUAUUUAUUUUUUAAAUUAUCUAAUAAUUUGGUGUUUUCAUUAAUUAAUUAGUUAAUUAAUUAUUGGGGCGAUAAAAAUUUGUUUAAUAAAUCAUUUCGGUUAAUUAAUUUAAAAAUGAAAAAUAUAUAUUUUUCUCAUGAAUUUUUUAUUGUUUACGUGUUUAAUAGUCUAAAUUAAUUAGCUAGUUUAUUUUAACAUAUUCUGAACUUCCUCAAUUAAAAUCACGCCUAAGUGGAUUGUCGUUUUUUUUUUAUGACCAAUUAAAUGCUUUUAAUCCCAAGGCCGAUAGUAUUAAGAGUUUUAUAAAAAUAUAAAUUAAAAUAAUUUAUUUGUAAAUAAAAAUUAAAAAUAUUUACAAAUAAUAACGUUAAUAUUUAUAAUGACGGUUAUAGAAAUAAUGAUAAUAAUAAUAAUAAAUGAAUAAUAAUUACAGGAAUAAAAAAAAUUAUUUUAAAAAUAAUUAGAGGAGAUUACUGAGAAUGAGGCUGAUGGACUUUGAAA